rnacentral:rRNA from 1 species
GAUGAACGCUGGCGGCGUGCCUAAUACAUGCAAGUCGAGCGAACAGACGAGGAGCUUGCUCCUCUGACGUUAGCGGCGGACGGGUGAGUAACACGUGGAUAACCUACCUAUAAGACUGGGAUAACUUCGGGAAACCGGAGCUAAUACCGGAUAAUAUAUUGAACCGCAUGGCUCAAUAGUGAAAGACGGUUUUGCUGUCACUUAUAGAUGGAUCCGCGCCGCAUUAGCUAGUUGGUAAGGUAACGGCUUACCAAGGCAACGAUGCGUAGCCGACCUGAGAGGGUGAUCGGCCACACUGGAACUGAGACACGGUCCAGACUCCUACGGGAGGCAGCAGUAGGGAAUCUUCCGCAAUGGGCGAAAGCCUGACGGAGCAACGCCGCGUGAAUGAUGAAGGUCUUCGGAUCGUAAAACUCUGUUAUUAGGGAAGAACAAAUGUGUAAGUAACUAUGCACGUCUUGACGGUACCUAAUCAGAAAGCCACGGCUAACUACGUG